rnacentral:rRNA from 1 species
CCCUUAGAUGUUCUGGGCCGCACGCGUGCUACACUGAGUGGAUCAGCGGGUCAGGUUGCGCGAAAGCGUUUCCUAAUCUUUAAAUCCGCUCGUGAUGGGGAUUGACGGUUGCAAUUUUCUGUCAUGAACGAGGAAUACCUUGUAAGCGCGGGUCAUCAUCCCGCGCUGAAUACGUCCCUGCCCUUUGUACACACCGCCCGUCGCUCCUACCGAUUUCGAGUGGUCCGGUGAACCUUUCGGACCGGGAGCAGCCUCGUGCUGCGCCUGGAAAGUCAAGUAAACCACAUCACUUAGAGGAAGGAGAAGUCGUAACA